UACGAAGGGAGCUAGCGUUGUUCGGAAUCACUGGGCGUAAAGAGCGUGUAGGCGGUCCGAUAAGUCCGCUCUGAAAGCUCGGGGCUCAACCCCGGGAGGCGGGCGGAUACUGUCGGGCUAGAGUCCGGAAGAGGCAAGUGGAAUUCCUGGUGUAGCGGUGAAAUGCGCAGAUAUCAGGAGGAACACCGAUGGCGAAGGCAGCUUGCUGGGACGGUACUGACGCUGAGGAGCGAAAGCGUGGGGAGCAAACAGG
rnacentral:rRNA from 1 species